UCUGGUAUUGGGUGAGGCAUUGCAGUUGUGGCUGCUGUAUCACAUGUUUGUCAGUAGGUGGCAGAGGAGAGGCUAUGUCUACCUCAGUGUUCUGACUUGUGAACUUCUGAAUGAUUAAGGAGUCUAAUAUU
ensembl:snoRNA predicted gene, 24286